AACGUAGGACACAAGCGUUAUCCGGAGUUACUGGGCGUAAAGAGCGCGUAGGCGGUCCGAUAAGUUCGCUAUGAAAGCACCUGGCUAAACUGGGUGAGGCUGGCGGAUACUGUCAGGCUAGAGUGAGACAGAGGCAGAUGGAAUUCCGCGUGUAGUGGUGAAAUGCGUAGAGAUGCGGAGGAACACCAGUGGCGAAGGCGGUCUGCUGGGUCUCAACUGACGCUGAGGCGCGAAAGCGUGGGGAGCGAACAGG
rnacentral:rRNA from 1 species